rnacentral:rRNA from 1 species
AUGGAGUUAAAUGGUCCUCCAUUUGGUCAACCAACAACUCCAGCACCUUUUGUGCAAGCUCGUGUGCAAGUGCCCGCACAAGAUGAGUUCGAUGACAUAGACAAGCUCACACUUUGGAGUCUCGAGUUCACUUGGAGUGCCGAGGAUGAUCCUAUUAGGAAGGUUAUACUAGAUGAAAUGAAGAAGAUCAAGAGUGGAAAAGAGCUAGUGGAAGAAGUAAGGAAGAUUGAGAAGAACAUCAACGCUGGCAGCACUAUUUCUUCACAGCUAGAGUUGAGUGUUGCCGAGAUUCCCCUUGAUACAUGUGAGGUUCCAACACCGUCACAUCCAGUUGAGCAAGAUAGCAAGAGUCCAGAGGAAGAAAUACCUCAGAUUGAAGAAGAUGAACUAGAAGACAAGGAACAAGAUGAUCAAGAGCUGCAAUUCCCAAGUGAUCAAGUUGAAGACUCAUCAUCUACUACUCCUGAAGAAGUACAAGAAGCUGCUGUAGAUGAAGAUGAAGAACAUGAGAUUCAUUUGCCUAUUGUCAUACCAGAGCGUGAUGUGUCAGGUUUACCCAAUCCUCUUGAUGACAUGAUGCCUUGUGAUUUCUUUGCUACUACCUUGCAUUACAUGAUACCAUCAAUUAAGCUAGACUUGAAAAAUUAUUUGCUUGGACAUGAUCAUACAUACAUUGUUGGUGGCAUUGCUCUCAUUCCUGAUGAUGACACUUAUUUUCCUUAUGCUAGUCCUAUGCUUAAUGAAACAUAUUAUUCCUAUGCUAGUCUUGAGCUUAAUGAUAAAUUUCAUCCUCAUGUUAGUGUCAACCUUGCUGAUUUCUACCAUCCUAAACAUGUGCUUUAUAGUUAUGCUUAUGUAAUUGGAUAUUCGAUUGAUCACUUGGAGGGUAUUAACCCUACCACUUGCAUUGUCUCUUUUGUUGAGAGUGCUUUCAGGUUUUUGCUUGUGCACGAUCCAUUACAUGCUGACCAGGUUCGAGGUGACAUUCCUUGGGACCCUGGUGGACUCAGAGCAUGGGGAUGA